rnacentral:misc_RNA from 1 species
UGACGUCACGCGACCCUACUUCCGCACUGAAAAGUCAAAAGUAUGUAAACUUUCAUUUCGCGUAGCAGUGGUAUUGACAGCUAGAAGUACCGUGAAGGACGAUUCCGAAGACUUUGGAUACAGUACUAAGUAGGUGUAUACGUAAUGUUCUGUUUACACACUUAAACGUAUAGGAGCAUAGCGUACACGGCGUACCUCACAAUCGCUUGUCUGUGCCUACACAUUGAUUGUGGCAGUCCGCUUCGUUGAAUAUGGCUGACGAUUUUUGGUAGCCACAAUUAAGUUGUAGUACGGUUUACGUUGAGGAUAUUACAACGGUUUUUGUGGAGGGAUGGUGCACAAAAUGGGGGAUUGUAUCGACGAUAGCGAUUCUGAGAAAACUCUGUCAGUGGACGAGUUAUGGCGAUUAUUGGAAGACAAGGAGAAAACAGUAUUUCUCCAAGCAGAGACGAUAGAACGCUUACAAGAAGAGGUUACGACUCUAAGAAAGGAGAGGGAUAGCCUUCUGAAAAGGGUGGCAACGUUCACCUUAAAGACACCAGAAAUAAGUGUCACAACCUCGAGGAACGGUGAUGACCUCCUGAGACAGAAGUCACGGUCUAGGUCAGUAGGCGGGUCACCGCUGGAGUCUCCAAGGACUAGCAAGCUUGUGAAUCAGGGAGGGAACAUUACACAGGGCAACCGUUGUCAACGACAACGAUCAUUACGGAGAACAGAGGAUGAGGUGAAAAAGUCAAGAUCACAGUCGGUAGCGUAUGAACUGUCACAGGACCUCCAGGAGAAACAGGUGGAGAUGUUAGAAAGGAAAUACGGAGGUUCUAUAAGAUCUCGGCGUGCCGCAAAAACUAUUCAGAGGGCUUUCAGGCAGUAUUGUAUGAAUAGAAACUUUGAGAAACUGAGGAUAGCUGUAGGUGAGCGAAGGUUAUCGAAGCGUCUCUCAGAACUAGGUCGCAGUAACACAAUAUGGACAGACAGAAUUAGUGCUGAUAGUCAUUAUAACAGCAGUAUGGGUGCUACGUUAAUACAAAAUAACGGUGAUAUACAGAGACACACGGACACCAACCAGGAACCAGGCGGUAAGUACAUAUCAAAUUACGAUGCAACAGGAUACAGGGAACAUCAGAAAAUGAAACAUCAAAUGUCUCUAGAUCCAAAUAUGAAAUUCGAUCCAAAUCGAGUGAAACUACCCAGAAAGGAUCGUAAACGUUUGGAACGGUGUACAGAGGUUUUGGAUCAGCCCGAUAUACCACAGGAGGAGAAAUCACAUCUUAAGGAUGAGACAAACAAUAAUCGGAAUUCGUAUCCGGAGAUGAAUGACAGUAGUAACAGUGAGUCUCCCCAGAACUCAGUUGAUCUACAUAGUUUUCACUUUGAGACGCUGUUAGAGGGUAAGGAGACGGAUAUAUUAGUGGACAGUUUUCAAAGUGAUGGUGCCAUUCACAGUGUCCAUAGUGAACCAAUGUUACAUCCGGAUUUAGCGUCAAAUUUAGGAAUUUCCCAAAAGCCUUCCACCUCAUCAUUGUACUCCAACACAAGUACCGACACCUACGAUAGUGCUAAAAGUCGUAGUGCUUCUUAUGAAAACUUUCGAACCAAUUAUUCUGACUCAGGGUCGCUUGGUAGUCAAGGUGACAUUCAGAUCAAAGUAGAACAGUUGUCACCAGACGGAAUUCGAACACAGGAACAGAAACAAAUGGCGGACCAGACAUUAAAGUAUUAUAUGAACCAAGAAGUCAAAAUGCGGGGUAAAAAUGAGGGAAGUGCUAAAAAACCACCCGUGGUGCCCGCACGGGCUCCAGAAGCGUCUCCAAUAUGGAAACGAAAAUGUGCUACGAACGGGGGACCUGGUGCCGUAACCCCGCCACAAAAAACACUCGAACCAAAACGUAUGAGUAACAUAUCAGAAAUGAGUGAAGCAGAUUCACUCGAUGGACGAUGUUCUAGUUCGCCAAGUUCGGAAAAUGUGAGUCUGGGUGGUGACAGCAAUGUAGGUUAUCAGAAACGUAUGAGACUCAGUAUGACUCCCGAUCAUCAACAUGUGAUGCCAAAGACUGCCGACAAACACAGAAAACGUACCUACAGAAUCGGAUUAAAUCUCUUCAACAAAAAACCUGAGAAAGGCGUCAAGUUCCUGUGUGAGUAUGGCUUCAUUGACGAGUCACCACAUGUGGUAGCCCGCUUUCUGAUCACACGGAAAGGACUGAGUAAACAGAUGAUUGGUGAAUACCUGGGGAACCUUCAGAACGAAUUCAACAUGGAAGUUCUUCAUUACUUUGCUCAAGAGAUUGACUUGGCUGGUCUACAGGUGGACAUGGCGCUGCGGAAAUACCAGGCCUGUUUUAGGAUGCCUGGAGAAGCUCAGAAGAUUGAAAGACUCAUGGAGGCAUUUGCAUCAAGAUACUGUGUUUGCAACCCAGAUCAAGUCAAGAAUUUCAAAAACCUAGAUGUUGUGUUCCUUCUGGCCUUUGCUAUCAUCAUGCUCAACACAGACUUGCACAACUCCAAUAUUAAGGCAGAGCGCAGGAUGAAGGUGGAAGACUUCAUCAAAAAUUUACGAGGUAUAGACGAUGGAGAUGACGUAGAUCGUGACAUGCUGGUCGGAAUCUACGAGAGGAUAAGCCAUUCGGAGCUACGUCCAGGUGUCGACCACGUUACCCAGGUGAUGAAGGUGGAACAGACCAUCGUCGGCAAGAGACCACAACUGGCCCUAUCCCACAGGCGACUGGUUUGUUACUGCCGACUGUACGAGGUACACGACCCGCAGAAGAAGGAGAAGGUUGGCCUUCACCAGAGGGAAGUAUUCCUCUUCAACGACAUUAUCUUUGUAACAAAAAUCUUCAGUAAAAAGAAGACUGGUAUAACAUAUGCAUUUAAGCAAUCCUUCUCUCUAUGUGGUAUGCAGGUAUUCCUGUUUGAGACUCCACAUUAUCAAUACGGUGUGCGGUUAAACAACAGCCUAGAUGGAAAAGUAUUUAUGACAUUCAAUGCCAGGAAUGACCAUGACCGGCAAAAGUUUGUGGAAGACCUUAAGGAAGCCAUCUUAGAGUCCAAUGGAAUGGAGCAGUACCGAAUUGAGGAAGAGCUACAGCGCCAUAGAGCCAAAAACAACACCAUUGACCGUCACUACGCCAACGACGACUCCCGGGUACUAAUGUACGAACUCUCGAAGCCAUCUGAUCCUACCUUAAAUAGGUUGUCUGCCCCUGAAUGUGGUGGCUUGAAGAAGCUCCCCCUAUCCAACUCUCUCACUGACUUAUGCGAAGCUCCAGGGAUGAGGAGAGGUAGUAGUGGAGGAUCCCUGGACAGCGGUGUGGCAUCAGGAAGCUCUGGCGGAGUCAACAGUAGCGGAGAAUCUCUAGGGACCCAGAAUCUGCAGCGUUCACCGGCCUCCCGGGCAGUGUAUCUAACACCACCGGAGAACCGAGGAGUUCGACCAAGACACCCGAAAACCUCAGCCGUCUAUCUUCAGGGGCGUAGCUCAGUCCCAGAAGGCACGGAAGUAUGAGUGGUCUCCCUUUGUCCUCCACAAGACAACAUAAGACGAAGGAUAUUGGCCCACUUGUUUCUUAAUUUCUUUAAUCCCAGAGACAUUUUAGCAAACAAGGCUGACUACUUGAUUGAUGAGGGUGUAGCUGACUACCCUGGUAUCAGAACUUCGUUUAAGAAGUCCAGGCCAAGGUGGACUGCCACAGGCAAUGCUGAUACCUGUGAUUUGUGUCAAUGAACCAGCUUAGUUUGGUUACCUCAUCAUUGAAUCAGGCAGAACAUUUAAACAGUAUUGUUCCAUUAAAAACCUUCGUCAUGUUUUCACUAUGAAACAAACUAGUUAGAAAAGUUUAACAGUUUCCUUCUUGCCCAGAUAAUUGUUAUAGCAAAUAAUACAAAAUUAGGAGUUAGAUCAUAAAUAAAAAAAUCUUCCAACCUUCCAUUUUAACCUGUGUACUUUUGAAAGUUUAAGCUAUGAUUCAAAAUCCCAUGCUUUACAAGAGACAUAUUCAAAUAUUGUAACUUUUUAAAAAGUUAUUCAAAAAAUAAUUAAAACAUGAAACUAGCUGUCUCUGUGAUAUGUCUCAGCACUUUUACUUCAAUAUAAACUAAACUGUUGAUAUUGAAAACAUUUGUCAAAUAUCUGAUCAACUUUUUUGAAAAUUAAAGCAAUACAUUUAAAGGUUUUGGGUCGGGUAUUUCAGUGAAGGGUUCACAGUCAGUAGGGAUUUAUGCAGCAGUGAAACCACAGUCUAUCAUAAAGAAAGAGGUAAAAUCAAAAUGUAUCACUGGAAGAAUCUAGGGUGUUGCCAAAUUGGGACCAUGGUCCAGUAAAAGAAUUGGGGGUAAUUUUUAAAAAAAGACUACUCCUCAAAUAGAAGUUGAAAGUUUUUGAUUUAAUGAUAUGUGAAACAUGACCUUGGGUAAAGGGGAUUAAAAUUGUGUGAAUUGCAUUGGAGCAGGUGUGGCCCAAUAUGGAUGGCUGUUCUACAGACUGCUGGUUAAAUAAGGAGCAGGUGUGGCCCAAUAUGGAUGGCUGUUCUACAGACUGCUGGUUUAAUAAGGAGCAGGUGUGGCCCAAUAUGAAUGGCUGUUCUACAGACUGCUGGUUUAAUCAAAUGGACAGAUUAUACCUUUGUUUUUUGUAAUGCACAUACAUGGGAGAUGUAAAAAGUACAGUCCUUGGGGAUGAAGGGACUGGGUUUAAUAUUGAAAUGGGGGUUAAUCUUAAAAUUAAAAUGACUACUCCUUAAAAUGGGUGAACAGGUUUUAAAUAGAUAUAGUAUGAAGAAUUCCUUGAAAGUCUAUUCCUAUAGAGUAGUUUGAAAGAUUUGUACUAGAAUUGCAGGAACAUGCAUAUUAUAUAAUGAAUAAUGAAUGUAUUGUUUCAUUUUAAGCCUGUUCUCAGCUUGUCAAAUAUUUAAAUUGUUCUUUUAAAUUAUAUAUGAGAUAUAAAUAAAAUCCAGGUGAGCUAUACUGGCCCAUGGGCCUUUUGUUUGAAAUGAUGUAGCAAUAUUCUUAUGUAAAUUAAUGAUAUCAAUGAUCCUAUUUAUGUAUCUACAAAGAAUUGUAGUUGGUAUAGCAGAUACACAUGUGAUGUAGUUUUAGAUUGUAGACACCUACUACUGAUGGUACCUGUUUCUCAGCAAAGCUGUUGUGUUGUGUGUGAUGACAUUGAUGAAUACAGGCAAGUUGCCUGUGUUUAUGUUUUGUAUUGUCUGUAAUUAUGAUGUUGAUUACAGGUGUGUUUGCGUGUUUGGUAUAGUAAUGUAAAACCACAGGUGCUGGAAUAAGUUGGCUCCUCUCAUCUUAACUCACUCACCCCGGAAGACACAUUUGAACUCUUCCAAUUCAAAAACUUAAAUAAUUCAUUAUGAAAUUUAAGGGGUUAAUAGUGUUAUUUUAUUGCCACAGGGGUAUAUAUUGAGAAAGUCCCAGUUUUUGAGACGACUGAUUUUUUUUAUCAUGUAAAAAUAAAUUAUUUUGGCCUGUAUCAUUGUUGAGCUUAGUACACAGAGAAAUGUCCACAGUUUAAAUGCAUAACGUAAUGUGGAUAAUGUGAUGAAGCACUUUACGACAGGCGGUAUAAUGUUACGCCUCUGUGUAAAAAUUCAUGAUUUUCUGUGCAAGGCAGUGCUUUAUCUACAUAUGUAUUUUGAAAACUCUGACAAUAUUUGUGUCAACUCCUGCUCAGUUCAGAGAUAUUUUUUCGGGGAAGGGGUCAAUUUAUUCAAACACAUGCGCGUAAAAUUCAACUUGACCGACAUCAUGUCAAACAUUACCGGAUGUCCUAACGUGUCUAUAAAGUCUGGUCUCACUACACGAGUGUUUACCUGUCUUUUGUGUGUAUCUGUUGAUGUAUUGAGUUGCUGUUAUUGGCUGGGUACAUUGUACUGCAUUUUGCUAUGUUCACGAUUUAAAUGAACUAUUGAAUAGUUUCAUAGCUAGUACGCUACGUAACAACUUCACUGAAGUGGAGGUGCACACAGAUUUAAUACCCGCGUUAGCAGUCCCUGAACAAUGAAUAGUAGCCCCAUAAAAUGAGGCAAGUAAUAUGUUAUUGAGGUGUAAAAUAUGUGGUAAACAAUUCUGUGACAUAACUUAUUCUGUACAUAGGUAUGAAGUGUUCCUACAAAUUUGAAAUAUGUGUAGAGUGAGAAAAUAAGGGGAGGAAACUCAUACAAUUAUAAUCAAGGAACAAUGUUCACACUUAGGACUAGUUAUAGUACACAAAUCAUUCUGUGUAGGAAGACUUUUUUGAAGUAUUACUUGUGCUUUGUAGUUACUUAUAGCUUUACAGAAAGUUAAGUAUAGUAUACUCUGUCAAAACUGGACUCUGUCCAUUCCAGAUUUUUGUCUGAACUGGCCCAAGGAUUUGGUUCCAACAAUGAUAUCGUAAAACUAGUGGACUACACAAUCCAGAAGUCUCUGCAAACCGGCCGAAUUGUAAGGUUCCAGGGGUUUCUAGUUUUUACAGAGUACGCUUUAUAUUUGUCGAGUCCGAGAACAAGUCAGCUGUACUUGUUUACGAUUAACUGUAAUACUGUGAUACACAAUCACCCUAGGUCUCCUGUACUUGAUAUCCAGACAAACUAUAAGUCCCAAAACAACUGUAUCAAAUAAAUAAAUGAAAUAUUCAAACUGCACGGCGGACAACAUCGAUCAUUUUAAUUUUCUGUAAAGCUUUAAGUAACUAGUCCCUGUGCUAAUAGUGACCUUACAAGUUAGGAUGUAUACGGAACUGAUGGGUUAUUGAAUUCCUGCACAAUAAGUUAAUAAACGAAGCAGGAGGUGUGUGUAUGUAUUUAGUGAGGUGAUAAACCUCUGUGUGUUUCGUGAUCAUGUUGUAAGUAUCUUUGGGCUCGUGCAACCAAACUUAUACCCAGUAAAAAGGAAAAUGUAAAAUAUUAUAAAUUAUGUACAUUGUAUUGAUUCAUUUCAACUUGAAAUGACAAAUGUGUGAUAUGUGUUGGUGUGAAAGCAAAAUAUAAGACCAAAAUUAUGUGAGCAAUAGUAUUGUUUUUUUCACCAUAUAUAAGGAUAUCACGUAAUGUUACUUGGUGAGCAUCAUACAACAAAUGAAAUGAAUUCAUGGUAACUUAAAAAAAUAAACAAGAAACAAAUCCUA